CCUACGGGAGGCAGCAGUGGGGGAUAUUGCACAAUGGGGGGAACUCUGAUGCAGCGACGCCGCGUGGGUGAAGAAGCGCCUCGGCGCGUAAAGCCCUGUCAGCAGGGAAGAAAAUGACGGUACCUGAAGAAGAAGCCCCGGCUAACUACGUGCCAGCAGCGGCGGCAAUACGUAGGGGGCAAGCGUUAUCCGGAUUUACCGGGUGUAAAGGGGGUGCAGACGGCGGUGCAAGCCAGGAGUGAAAGCCCGGGGCCCAACCCCGGGACUGCUCUUGGAACUGCGUGGCUGGAGUGCAGGAGGGGCAGGCGGAAUGCCUGGUGUAGCGGUGAAAUGCGUAGAGAUCAGGAGGAACACCGGUGGCGAAGGCGGCCUGCUGGACUGCAACUGACGUUGAGGCCCGAAAGCGUGGGGAGCAAACAGGAUUAGAUACCCUAGUAGUC
rnacentral:rRNA from 1 species